rnacentral:rRNA from 1 species
AUUGAACGCUGGCGGCAUGCCUUACACAUGCAAGUCGAACGGUAACGGGCCUUCGGGUGCCGACGAGUGGCGAACGGGUGAGUAAUGUAUCGGAACGUACCUUUCAGUGGGGGAUAACGUAGCGAAAGUUACGCUAAUACCGCAUAUUCUGUGAGCAGGAAAGCAGGGGAUCGCAAGACCUUGCGCUGAUUGAGCGGCCGAUAUCAGAUUAGGUAGUUGGUGAGGUAAAGGCUCACCAAGGCGACGAUCUGUAGCGGGUCUGAGAGGAUGAUCCGCCACACAGGAACUGAGACACGGUCCAGACUCCUACGGGAGGCAGCAGUGGGGAAUUUUGGACAAUGGGGGCAACCCUGAUCCAGCCAUGCCGCGUGAGUGAAGAAGGCCUUCGGGUUGUAAAGCUCUUUCGGCCGGGAAGAAAUCGUAUGGGUUAAUACCCUGUGCGGAUGACGGUACCGGCAUAAGAAGCACCGGCUAACUACGUGCCAGCCGCCGCAGUAAAAC